rnacentral:rRNA from 1 species
CCUACGGGAGGCAGCAGUGGGGAAUAUUGGGCAAUGGAGGAAACUCUGACCCAGCAACGCCGCGUGAAUGAUGAAGGUCUUCGGAUUGUAAAGUUCUUUUCUAAGGGAAGAAGAAAGUGACGGUACCUUAGGAAUAAGCCUCGGCUAACUACGUGCCAGCAGCCGCGGUAAUACGGAGGAUGCGAGCGUUAUCCGGAUUUAUUGGGUUUAAAGGGUGCGCAGGCGGCGAGUUAAGUCAGCGGUAAAAUUUCGGGGCUCAACCCCGACGAGCCGUUGAAACUGGCUUGCUAGAGUGGGCGAGAAGUAUGCGGAAUGCGUGGUGUAGCGGUGAAAUGCGUAGAUAUCAGGAGGAAUACCGUUAGCGAAGGCGACAAUCUGGCUGGAAACUGACGCUGAGGUGCGAAAGCGUGGGUAGCAAACAGGAUUAGAUACCCGAGUAGUC